CAGGUUAGCAGUAUAAUUUGCUAUCAUAUCUUCUUCAAGAUCAUCACCAACUUCAUAAAGAAGGGUUACUCCAUGCAUAAUUAUUGGGGAGUUCAUGCCAAGCUCGGCUUUAACUAUCUUCUCGACAAAAUCCCGCAGCUUUGAAUGAUGAGUAUUAAUCUCCAGUGAUAGCGGUGACUUAGAACAAACACAGCAUGAUUUGUUAGGCUCAAAGGGUUCCACUGGCAUAAGAAGCAUCUUUUUUGAUGGAUGUUCUAAACAAUAUGUCAUCCUGUAAUUGUCAAUAUCCUUUUUCAACACCUUGAUUGCUUCAAUGACAAUUAAACCAGCUACAACAGCAUUAGUUGUUGCCACAGCAUGCACAAUAUUACCUGCAAUACCUUUAGCUUCAAAAAGGCUAUGCAAAGGAAUCCCAAAUGAAGCAGCUCGAAUAUUUGCAGCA
rnacentral:misc_RNA from 1 species